rnacentral:rRNA from 1 species
GGAUCCGGGGCGUUCCCCCUUCGGGGGGACAGGGUGACAGGUGGUGCAUGGUUGUCGUCAGCUCGUGUCGUGAGAUGUUGGGUUAAGUCCCGCAACGAGCGCAACCCUCGACCUUAGUUGCCAGCAUUCAGUUGGGCACUCUAAGGUGACUGCCGGCUAAAAGUCGGAGGAAGGUGGGGAUGACGUCAAAUCAUCAUGCCCCUUAUGACCUGGGCUACACACGUGCUACAAUGGGCGGUACAAAGGGUCGCGAACCCGCGAGGGGGAGCCAAUCCCAAAAAGCCGCUCUCAGUUCGGAUUGCAGGCUGCAACUCGCCUGCAUGAAGCCGGAAUCGCUAGUAAUCGCGGAUCAGCAUGCCCGCGGUCGAAUACGUUCCCGGGCCUU